rnacentral:rRNA from 1 species
UGUACGUACAAGCAGUGGGAGCCCCACCACUAAGCCAGUGGUGAACUCCACAUACGCAUCCUUUGCUGAUGGCAAUGGUUAACGGAGCGAAAGCGACGUUCAACCUCAAAACAAGCAGAGGGGGCUUAGUGGUGGGGUGACUGCGUACCUUUUGUAUAAUGGGUCAGCGACUUAUAUUCUGUAGCAAGGUUAACCGAAUAGGGGAGCCGGAGGGAAACC